rnacentral:rRNA from 1 species
CCUACGGGAGGCAGCAGUGAGGAAUAUUGGUCAAUGGGCGAAAGCCUGAACCAGCCAAGUCGCGUGCGGGAUGAAGGCCCUACGGGUCGUAAACCUCUUUUGCACGAGGAUAACACCCUCCACUUGUGGAGGUCUGCGUGUACCGUACGAAUAAGGGCCGGCUAAUUCCGUGCCAGCAGCCGCGGUAAUACGGAAGGCCCGAGCGUUAUCCGGAUUCAUUGGGCUUAAAGGGUGCGUAGGCGGGCGUUCAAGUCAGCUGUAAAAUCGCGCGGCUCAACCGCGCCCCGCAGUUGAAACUGGAAGCCUGGAGUUCACAACAGGUAGGCGGAAUGCGUGGUGUAGCGGUGAAAUGCAUAGAUAUCACGAGGAACUCCGAUUGCGAAGGCAGCGUGCCGGGGUGCGACUGACGCUGAGGCUCGAAGGUGUGGGUAUCAAACAGGAUUAGAUACCCGAGUAGUC